GCAAGUGUGGCUCAGUGGAAGAGCAUCUGCUUGGCCUGCAGAAGGUCCCAGGUUCAAUCUUCGACAUCUCCA
rnacentral:tRNA from 1 species